AGUUAGUGGCGGACGGGUGAGUAACGCGUGGAAAACCUGCCGUAUACUGGGGGAUAACACUUAGAAAUAGGUGCUAAUACCGCAUAAGCGCACAGCUUCGCAUGAAGCGGUGUGAAAAACUCUGGUGGUAUACGAUGGUUCCGCGUCUGAUUAGCUAGUUGGUGGGGUAAUGGCCUACCAAGGCAACGACCAGUAGCCGGCCUGAGAGGGUGAACGGCCACAUUGGGACUGAGACACGGCCCAAACUCCUACGGGAGGCAGCAG
rnacentral:rRNA from 1 species